UGUUGAACCCUUGUGACAGAAUUCACAGCUGUCAUUCAGGAGCCGAGCCCGCCUCCAGAGUGGCCUUCCUCAGCGGACACGCCCCGUCCACCUGUUCCACAGGUGCGCCCGGCAAGAUGGCGGUUGGAUGAGUUUCUGCGGCUUUAGGUGACAAAAGGAUUUCAAGAGGGGAUCUCCAGUUAUGGAAAAACUGUUUUUUCCAGGUUCUGCUGCUCUUGGUCCUCAGCGCUCCGACGAUCUCCUUUCCAGCAACUCUUCGUGCGUUGGCAAGUUCUUCUUGGCAAUGUGUAUUUCUCCUUAAAUUUCGUUAUUGACACCAGUGGCUUGAUCUGAAAUGCACCGAUUGAGUGAUGUAUCUUGCUCUUCAUGUAGCGAAGUUCUUAACCUGUGUUUUCCUGUUGACUGCUGCUAUGUGCUGUGCAUUGUACAAUAAAAGCUGUUGAUCGCA